CCUUUUACAAAUGUAGGUGUCGAUGUCUUUGGACCAUGGCAGAUCGUCACCAGAAAGACGUGAGGUGGAAGUGCAUCGUCAAAGCGAUGGGGCGUCUUAUUUACAUGUUUAGUGACAAGGGCAGUUCAUAUAGAAGUAGUUGAUUCCCUGAGCUCAUCAGCAUUCAUUAAUGCUGUGCACAGAUUUACAAGUAUAAGAGGGAAGGUGAAAAUAUUUCGGUCCCAUAGAGGCACUAAUUUUAUUGGAGCAACAGAUGACCUGAGAGUUGAUACAGUCUGUGUGGAAGAUGAUACUUUGAAAAAAUUUCUGUACGAUUCCGGAACAAAGUGGAUUUUUAAUCCUCCACACUCGUCACACUUCGGGGGAGCAUGGGAAAGAAUGAUUGGACUAGUGCGCAACAUUCUCGAUGCUAUGUUUAUGGAGCCAAACAACAAGAACAUUAUACAUGACGUUCUUUGCACAUUGAUGGCGGAGGUGACCGCAAUUAUAAAUUAUCGACCCUUAACGCCAGUGUCGUCGGACCCAGAUUCUCCGUUCGUUCUAACACCUAACAUUUUGUUGACACAGAAACAUUCUUCAGAUUCUGAUAUCUUAAGAGUUUGGUGACAUAGGAGUGAAAGACAUGUUGAAGUCCGAGUGGAAACGUGUGCAGGGUCUUGCAAACCAGUUCUGGAAAAAAUGGAAGUCUGACUAUCUCCACUUACUCCAGCCGCGCAGAAAAUGGAAGAGUGAAGAGCCAAAUAUCAACGAAGGUGACAUUGUGCUAGUGAAGGAGGAAAGUCCCCGAAAUCAUUGGCCAGUGGCAGUUGUGCAGAGAACAUUCAAGAGUGAUGAUACUUUAGUUAGAAAGAUUCAGGUUAAGUUGUUAAGAAACGACAAACCAGUUGUUCUUGUUAGGCCAAUUUGUGAAGUUAUUCCAUUAUUAGCACUGUAAUGUGAUCAUUUUAGUUAAACAUUUUUCAUACUUGUACAUUAUCAUUUUGUAGUUUUUCAGUGUAUUGUUGCCUAUAGUCUUAGUGACAUCUUACAGAUAUCAGACGGGGUGUGUCCUGUCAUAUGUUUGAAUCAACUUGCGAAACAUUCUCUUUCUAUACGAAUUACAUAUGUACGAGUUAAUUAUAUAAGAGAGGAUGGAACUCUUUUGUAUUUUGAGUUAACGCACGUUUUUUCUUCGCGCCAGCAAUGUUUAGAGCAUUCUGUGUAUUCAUCUUUUCUUUUUGGUUCGCCACGGUCCUUUUACCACUUUCACUUUCACUUGCACCUGUGCAACAUUAAAAGGCGGUUAGAUA